rnacentral:rRNA from 1 species
UGGAUCCAGACUUUGAUUCUGGCUCAGGAUGAACGCUAGCGACAGGCUUAACACAUGCAAGUCGAGGGGCAGCAUGAACUUAGCUUGCUAAGUUUGAUGGCGACCGGCGCACGGGUGAGUAACGCGUAUGCAACUUACCUAUCAGAGGAGAAUAGCUCAUCGAAAGAUGAAUUAAUGCUCCAUAAAACAGGGGUCCCGCAUGGGAAUAUUUGUUAAAGAUUCAUCGCUGAUAGAUAGGCAUGCGUUCCAUUAGGCAGUUGGCGGGGUAACGGCCCACCAAACCGACGAUGGAUAGGGGCUCUGAGAGGAAGGUCCCCCACAUUGGUACUGAGACACGGACCAAACUCCUACGGGAGGCAGCAGUGAGGAAUAUUGGUCAAUGGCCGAGAGGCUGAACCAGCCAAGUCGCGUGAAGGAUGAAGGAUCUAUGGUUUGUAAACUUCUUUUAUACGGGAAUAAAGUGAGCCACGUGUGGUUUUUUGUAUGUACCGUAUGAAUAAGCAUCGGCUAACUCCGUGCCAGCAGCCGCGGUAAUACGGAGGAUGCGAGCGUUAUCCGGAUUUAUUGGGUUUAAAGGGUGCGUAGGUGGUCUUUUAAGUCAGCGGUGAAAGUUUGUGGCUCAACCAUAAAAUUGCCAUUGAAACUGGGAGACUUGAGUAUGUUUGAGGUAGGCGGAAUGCGUGGUGUAGCGGUGAAAUGCAUAGAUAUCACGCAGAACUCCGAUUGCGAAGGCAGCUUGCCAAGCCAUAACUGACACUGAAGCACGAAAGCGUGGGUAUCAAACAGGAUUAGAUACCCUGGUAGUCCACGCAGUAAACGAUGAUUACUAGGAGUUUGCGAUAUAAUGUAAGCUCUACAGCGAAAGCGUUAAGUAAUCCACCUGGGGAGUACGCCGGCAACGGUGCAACUCAAAUGAAUUGACGGA